UCAAUGAUGACACCAACGCAAAAAAGCGUAACAGCCGCUUUGAUUUCACUCCUACAGAACCCAUGAAUGAUUGUAAGGUUGCCUAACGCACAUUGCCAAGCCCCAUCUUCAUUCGUUCUUCUUCCACCCCUACAGAUCAGUACCAACAGAAUUCCAUCAUGGUCCUUUGUUUCCCACCUGACGAAAUCAUUGCCACCGAGGGUGAUCUCGUUGCAUUUGAGCGUCGCAUUUUCCUCAUUUUCCGUUGGAUCAAUAUAUUUACCUAUUUUCACUUUGCCGUCUGCACUGUCAGUUCUGUGGCCGAUCGUCAAGCCGUUGUCCAUCAAAAUGGAGAAAGAAUUACCGUAGGCGUCGAUUCUCCGUGGAUUGAUAUCUGGCGUCAGUGUCUCUCAACUCGAAUCGUGGAGAAGACCAUCAGAAAUCUGUGUGACAAACACGGCGGUCGAGUCAACAACCUGGAUGAGGCUGCUAGAGCAAAAGGACUGCGGCCAUUCAGACCUGACGUGAUUGUUGAAAGGGCCCGGGGAGUUCUCAGGGCAAAUCGUGUCAUUGAUUACCAUUUGUUGGAAAAAAAUUGUGAACAUUUUGCUACCAAAUGUCGAUAUGGGAAAGGCUUUAGUCUCCAAGUUAGUGAUUGUUGUCCGGCACCUUUCACAUUUGUUUUUAGGUUGUGCUCAUCGAUUCGCAAUUUCUGUUGCUCACUAAGACGUUCAUAAGAGGUUUAUGUAAUGAAUAGGCUCAUUGAUGUAGUCAAGCAGGAUUAAAACCAAACCUGAUUAAAUUGAACAAGUGUAGUAAUCUUUAAUGUAAUUCAUUGUUAGGACCCAAAGAUGCAAAUUACA